rnacentral:rRNA from 1 species
GAUGAACGCUAGCGGCAGGCUUAACACAUGCAAGUCGAGGGGUAAAUAUAGCAAUAUAUGAGACCGGCAAACGGGUGCGGAACACGUACUGAACCUACCUUUAUCUGGGGCAUAGCCCGAAGAAAUUCGGAUUAACUCCCCAUAAUAUAGAUGAGUGGCAUCACUUGACUAUUAAAAAUUUAUUGGAUAAGGAUGGCAGUGCGUCCCAUUAGCUAGUUGGUAGGGUAACGGCCUACCAAGGCGACGAUGGGUAGCUGGUGUGAGAGCACGACCAGCCACACGGGCACUGAGACACGGGCCCGACUCCUACGGGAGGCAGCAGUGAGGAAUAUUGGUCAAUGGACGCAAGUCUGAACCAGCCAUGCCGCGUGAAGGAUGAAGGCCUUCUGGGUUGUAAACUUCUUUUAUGUGGGAAGAAACCUCUGAUUUCUAUUAGAGUUGACGGUACCAUAGGAAUAAAGCACCGGCUAACUCCGUGCCAGCAGCCGCGGU